UUUUAGUACCAACAAGCAUGUGUCUGAUUGACCUAUGUUAGUGUUUAGUAGAGCGGAGCUUAAAUGGAAAUAGCGAAACGAGUGACGCACAUUCCCGUCUGGACUAUGCCUGCUCUGACCGCUUCCCCGAUCGAAGAGAUCCACUGGUGCCCUCAUGGAUUCUAAUGGUGUAGCGUCGAUCUCGGCCAUCGGCUACCGUGCGCGCGGUUUCCUGCGCUCCGUAAGCAAUGACAUUUCAGAGAUCGAUUGAACGAGAUGGGUGACUCAAUAUUUU
rnacentral:lncRNA from 7 species